CCUACGGGUGGCAGCAGUGAGGAAUAUUGGUCAAUGGGCGCGAGCCUGAACCAGCCAAGUAGCGUGAAGGAUGACUGCCCUACGGGUUGUAAACUUCUUUUAUAAAGGAAUAAAGUGAGGCGCGUGUGCUUUUUUGUCUGUACUUUAUGAAUAAGGAUCGGCUAACUCCGUGCCAGCAGCGGCGGUAAUACGGAGGAUCCGAGCGUUAUCCGGAUUUAUUGGGUUUAAAGGGAGUGUAGUUGGGUUGUUAAGUCAGUUGUGAAAGUUUGCGGAUCAACCGUAAAAUUGCAAUUGAUACUGGCUGCCUUGAGUACAGGUGAGGUAGGCGGAAUUCGUGGUGUAGCGGUGAAAUGCUUAGAUAUCACGAAGAACUCCGAUUGCGAAGGCAGCCUACUAAACUGCCACUGACAUUGAUGCUCGAAAGUGUGGGUAUCAAACAGGAUUAGAUACCCGGGUAGUC
rnacentral:rRNA from 1 species